UACGGAGGGGGCGAGCGUUAUUCGGAAUUAUUGGGCGUAAAGGGCGCGUAGGCGGCCCUAUAAGUCAAAGGUGAAAUCCCUCGGCUCAACUGAGGAACUGCCUUUGAAACUGUAGGGCUUGAGUCCGGGAGGGGGUAGCGGAAUUCCCAGUGUAGCGGUGAAAUGCGUAGAUAUUGGGAGGAACACCAGUGGCGAAGGCGGCUACCUGGACCGGAACUGACGCUGAGGCGCGAAAGCGUGGGUAGCAAACAGG
rnacentral:rRNA from 1 species